CAUCCUGGCGCAGCUCCCCCUGCAGACGCGACCUGCCAGAAGCCGGCAUUUCUGACCAUAGAGCUUUUCCACGAAAAAUCGGGUUUAUUGCCUUUUCUCGUCUGAUUAUAUAUAUAAAACAACAACGCGGGCUCACUGGAUGAGGUUGGGGGAAUGCGGAAAGGGACAGCGACGCUUUAAUAUCUUGCCACAGGAAGGAUCUGGCGGUGACGGAUGGUGUGUUUUCUGUUCUUACCUCGGAAGUGGUCCCCUGAUAGCCUCUCCUGUAGCAGCACCAGCUUCCGUGCACUUCAUAAAUUCUCUGGCAGCCCAGCCGACGGCCCCGUGUACUUUUAUUACUGGAGGCUAAUUGCCCCGUCUCCGACUGCUCCUGGGACGGAGAAGGCUUCUGCGGGCGGGGGGAGGGAGGGUGGCGCUCUGGGGGAGGAAGCCUCUCGGUUCCGGCAUGGCAAUGGGGAAGAGUACGGAAACCAGGCCGAGGCAUCAGAGCAGGUGUCUGCCGCGCGCUCCCUGCUCGCUCAGCAAAAGGCGAAGCAGCCACAUGCGUCUGUCACUUAACCUUGGGGGCAGCUUGCCAAGGAGGUGGUGUCAUUGAACCAUUUUCCAGACGAGGAAGCUGAGGGAGAGGUGGCUUGCCCGAGGUCACACAGCUAGUGGGAGCCAGAGCAGAGGCUCAACCCAGGCUGCCUGAGCUGCAGUGCCGCUGAAGCCAGGAAAUCGUACGUACAGAAGAAGGCACGUAGGCUGCAGCGGGCAGGUUUUUAAGAUGGCUGCCAGGGGUACACCCUUACAGGUGUCGUCCCUUCAAGUGGGCGGGACUCAGAGUAUGAUGAGACGUCACUCCGUGGAUAGGUUACACGCGACGGCAAGGUGAAGUGACCUGGCAGAUGUGACCGAAGUCUCUACUUGGCGGCCUUUAAGUUCAUUAAAAGGGAGAUGGUUCUGGGUGGGCCUGACCUAAUCAGGUGAGCGCUUUAGCUGAAAAGCCUAGAAGUCAGAGAAGAAAAAAGUCAGAGAGAUUUGAAGCAGCAGAUACUCCUCUGUUGACCUUGAGAAAAUAAGCUGCCAUAUUGUGGAGGGGUGGGGGAAUCACAUGGAAAGGAAGGGCAGGUGACCCCUAGGGGUUGAGGGUCUCAGUCCUACAACUGCAAGGAGCUGAAUUCGUACGACAACCAGGGCAUUGGGAAGAGGGACCCUGAGUCUAUGACGCGAGAGCUAUUGUGCGAGGUCAUAAAGAGCAUGUGGUCACCAGUUGACCUUCAGGCUGGUCAGCCAAUGGACACUCAUCACUCCCUCCCCCGUCCUUGGACGGUACAUUCUGCUUGCCUCCCCCAUUCCCAGAGGCUGCCCCAAAGAUACAGCCUUGAGAUAGCUUGUGUUGACAGCCUGUGGCUGGUAUGUGUGAUUGAACCCAGUUAAGGCCUCUAUAUAAAGCUUUGAGAUUUGGUGGGGGAGUGGGGAGAUCCGCUCGUCUCGGGGUGCCCCCUUGCUUAUUGGAACUGCCACCCACCAAUCUGGGUACGGAUGGCAUCCGAGGAGCUCCCAGCCCUGGCUGCCACCUUGAUUUCAGCCUAGUGAGACCCUGAGCAGGGGACCCAGCUAACCUGGACCUUGGCUCUCGACCUUUGGAAACUGCAAGUCACAGCUUCAAAGCCCCUCCAUGUGCUCGUCAAGACCCAGUCUCACCAGGCAGAAGAAAGGACUCUUAAGGACUCCAGGAUGCUGUGCUCUAAGCUGGAGGCAGAGUCCUGCUGUCACAAAUGAGUGAGUCUCCGGGGGCCCGACGAGGGGUCCGCAGGGCUGGGCUCUCUCCCACCUUCCCAGACCUCGGCAUGAGACCACAGGGCACCUGUCGUCUCUUCCUCAUUGUCUACCUGAUCUCUUCUUGUUCAUCUGUGGGGACCAUCUCCUCCGGGAAGCCUCCCUGAGUGCAGUCUGGGUCAGCCUCCUUGGCCAGGGUCCUGUUGCCCACCGGACUUUGCCUUCAGAGCAACUGUGAUCGACAACCUAUCCGACUCGAUUGUUGGACUCUCAAGUUUCAGGAGGGCGGGACUAGUGCCUGUGUGGCUCAUUGUUAUAUGCCAGCAUCCAGUCCAAUGGCGGGUAGGUAGGAGGGAUAUUUGUAAAGUCAACAAAUGAAGA